UAAAAGGUGAUGAGCAUUUGAAGGAACAGAGUGGCUCCACACUAUACUAUAAAUGCCCACUAAAGCGCAGUUGCAUGAGUUCCCAACAAGCAUCACCUCCCUUCCUCCCCCUCUCUAAUUGCAUGAGUUCCUAACAAGCAUCAUCUCUCCUUCUCUCUCUCUCUAUAUAUAUAUAUACAUAUAGUUUCAGAGGCGUCUCUAAAAAUGCACCUAGCACCAUGCCUCACAAGUGUGCUUCUCAUCCUAGCCUCCCUCCUCUAUACCACCACCUAUUUCCGGCUUCUCACUCCAUUUUCCAACGACAAUCCCUACCACUUCCUCUUCCUCUCCUCCGGCGACAACGCCACCGCUGCCCGACACCUCCUCUCUCUCACCUCCCGCCCCCACACUGCCGGCACCCCCGCCAACUACAUCACCGCCCUCUAUGUCCUCAACACUUUCUCUCUCCUAAACUUCCAAGCACAUGUAACCUCUUACAAGGUUUCUCUCACUUAUCCGAUAUUCCGAUCGGUCGAUGCCAAAUUUCCGGCCACAAACACGACGUCGAGACUCAGCCUCAAACAGGAACCCUGUAAGGGAGACCCUUACUCUGAGACCCUUGAGGCCUUGCCAACCUUCCAUGCCUAUGCCAAAACAGGCCAAGCCAUAGGAGAGGCCAUCUAUGUUAACUAUGGUAGAGAGAGAGACUUUGCACUUUUGAAGGGCAUGGGCAUUAGUGUUGAAGGCAAGGUUGUCUUAGCAAGAUAUGGAGAAAUAUUCAGAGGGGACAUAGUGAACAAUGCCAUGGAAGAAGGGGCAAUUGGUGCUGUGAUCUACACUGACCCUAAGGACUAUGGAGGGAACCAUGGAUCUCACCCUGAGGCUCGGUGGAUGCCACCGAGUGGCGUGCAAGUGGGCUCAGUGCGUAGAGGUAUAGGGGACCCCUCGACGCCAGGGUGGGCUAGCAUAGAGGGUUGUGAGAGGUUAGAGAGAGAAAGAAUGGAGAAGGGGCUGCCAUCGAUUCCCUCUCUCCCUAUAUCGGCCAAGGAUGCAAAGGUGAUUGUGGCCGGGCUCGAGGGUCCACUGGUUGAUGAGGACUGGCAAGGUGCGCUCGAUGUCGGUGCCUAUAGGGUCGGGCCGGGUCCGGUCACCCUCAACCUCACUUAUAUUGGGGAGCUAAAGGAGAUGAAGAUUCAUAAUGUUUUUGCUGUGAUCAAGGGAGCCGUUGAGCCCGAUCGGUAUGUAUUGAUGGGGAAUCAUCGCGAUGCAUGGACCUUUGGAGCCGUCGAUCCUAGUAGUGGAACGGCUGCAUUGCUAGAGAUAGCCCAGAGGUUGGCCAAGUUGCAAAAGUGGGGUUGGAGGCCUAGAAGAAGCAUCAUUUUGUGCAGUUGGGAUGCAGAAGAGUAUGGUUUGAUUGGAUCCACAGAGUGGGUAGAAGAGAAUAGAGAGAUGUUGGGCUCAAAGGUUGUUGCAUAUCUAAAUGUGGACUCUGCAGUCUCAGAAGCACGAUUUCAUGCCUCGGCCACCCCUCAACUUGAUCACCUACUCAAAGAAGCCGCUCAAAAGGUUAAAGAUCCAGACGACUCCACAAAAACGGUCUACGAUUCCUGGAUUGAGUCUGGUGACCCUCCCUUGAUAGGGAGAUUAGGAGGCAAAGGGAAAGAUUAUGCAGCAUUCCUUCAACACAUUGGAAUCCCAGCCGUUGAUAUGAGCUUUAGAGGAGCUUUCCCAGUUUAUCAUUCUUUGUACGACGACUUCGUGUGGAUGAAAAAAUUUGGUGAUCCCUCAUUUCAAAGGCACGUAGCAGUGGGAAGCAUAUGGGGAUUGGUUGCACUUAGGCUGGCAGAUGAGGAGUUCUUGCCAUUUAAUUAUUCAGCAUAUGCUUCUGAGCUCCACUCAAAUACCAAGGCACUAGAAACACCAGGACUGGAUAAAUCCCUAAGCUUCUCUCCACUCUAUAACUCCAUCAAGGAGCUUGAGAAGGCCGCAAGCAAAAUAAUGAAGGAAAGGAAGUUUUCCUUGGAGUUGUGGGCCUACAUUGAAGCGCUUUUUGGUUCACUAGCAACCCAAAUUCAAAACCAACCAUUAUUGACUUCAAUCAAUAAGCCAGGAUCGAUCUCUCUCUCUGGCACUAGAGGAAGAUGGAUGGGCAUCCAGAUUCAGGAAAGAGAAUGCAUUGCUGGUUCGGGAUCUUAACGAUCGAUUAAUGAUGGCAGAACGUGCUUUCGCAGAUCCGGAUGGUCUCUUCGGAAGACCAUGGCACAAGCACUUGGUUUAUGGGCCUUCAAACCACGACCAAUAUGGGUCUAGGUCAUUCCCGGGAGUAGAGGACGCCAUUGUGGAGGCAAGAAGAUCAAACACCACAGAGUCAUGGGCUUUUGUUCAACACCAAAUUUGGAGGGUCUCUAGAGUUGUGUCUCAGGCAUCACUGGUUCUCAGAGGUGAUUUCACAUAAGAUAACAAGCAAUCUUCAGCUUGUUAGAGAUGAUUGAAGGUUUAAUGGUUGUUUUCUCAGAUGACAUUAACUCAUUAACUGAGAAUAUAUAUGUAUAUAUAUAGCAUACAAAGGGCAUGUCACUUCCAAUUAA